CGUCUUGUUAUGAGACACUAUUAUGACCUCUGACCUCAAAUCAGGUAGGACUACCCGCUGAACUUAAGCAUA
rnacentral:rRNA from 1 species